rnacentral:rRNA from 1 species
UGGGGAAUUUUGGACAAUGGGCGAAAGCCUGAUCCAGCAAUGCCGCGUGUGUGAAGAAGGCCUUCGGGUUGUAAAGCACUUUUGUCCGGAAAGAAAUCCUUGGCUCUAAUACAGUCGGGGGAUGACGGUACCGGAAGAAUAAGCACCGGCUAACUACGUGCCAGCAGCCGCGGUAAUACGUAGGGUGCAAGCGUUAAUCGGAAUUACUGGGCGUAAAGCGUGCGCAGGCGGUUUGCUAAGACCGAUGUGAAAUCCCCGGGCUCAACCUGGGAACUGCAUUGGUGACUGGCAGGCUAGAGUAUGGCAGAGGGGGGUAGAAUUCCACGCGUAGCAGUGAAAUGCGUAGAGAUGUGGAGGAAUACCGAUGGCGAAGGCAGCCCCCUGGGCCAAUACUGACGCUCAUGCACAAAAGCGUGGGGAGCAAACAGGAUUAGAUACCCUGGUAGUCCACGCCCUAAACGAUGUCAACUAGUUGUUGGGGAUUCAUUUCCUUAGUAACGUAGCUAACGCGUGAAGUUGACCGCCUGGGGAGUACGGUCGCAAGAUUAAAACUUAAAGGAAUUGACGGGGUCAUAGCUGUUUCCU